CCCUUAGAUGUCCUGGGCCGCACGCGCGUUACACUGAUGCAUUCAACGAGCUUAUAACCUUGGCCGAGAGGCCUGGGCAAUCUUGUUAACGUGCAUCGUGAUAGGGAUAGAUUAUUGAAAUUAUUAAUCUUGAACGAGGAAUUCCUAGUAAACGCAGAUCAUCAAUCUGCAUUGAUUACGUCCCUGCCCUUUGUACACACCGCCCGUCGCUCCUACCGAUUGAAUGUUCCGGUGAGCUCUUCGGACUGCGCGGUCUGCAGUUUCUGCGUUCCGUGCGGAAAGUUGUGCAAACCUUAACAUUUAGAGGAAGGAGAAGUCGUAACA
rnacentral:rRNA from 1 species